rnacentral:rRNA from 1 species
GAUGAACGCUGGCGGCGUGCCUAAUACAUGCAAGUCGAGCGAACGGACGAGAAGCUUGCUUCUCUGAUGUUAGCGGCGGACGGGUGAGUAACACGUGGAUAACCUACCUAUAAGACUGGGAUAACUUCGGGAAACCGGAGCUAAUACCGGAUAAUAUUUUGAACCGCAUGGUUCAAAAGUGAAAGACGGUCUUGCUGUCACUUAUAGAUGGAUCCGCGCUGCAUUAGCUAGUUGGUAAGGUAACGGCUUACCAAGGCAACGAUGCAUAGCCGACCUGAGAGGGGGAUCGGCCACACUGGAACUGGGACACGGUCCAGACUCCUACGAGAGGCAGCAGUAGGGAAUCUUCCGCAAUGGGCGAAAGCCUGACGGAGCAACGCCGCGUGAGUGAUGAAGGUCUUCGGAUCGUAAAGCUCUGUUAUUAGGGAAGAACAUAUGUGUAAGUAACUGUGCACAUCGUGACGGUACCUAAUCAGAAAGCCACGGCUAACUACGUG